CAGCGAGACAGGUUUCCUGUAGGAGACUUCAGUAUGUUAGCUUCUGCAUUAAUUUGAAUCUGCUCAUCUGCUCUGCUGAGAUCUUGCACAUUGUUUGGCCCAUUUCACUCUCUAAUGACAGGUCUGGUAGAUUUUGAUGGAGAACUUGCCAAACAUGUCAGAUUUCAGACCAACAGAAACCCAUGUUCUUUGCUCUGGACAAAGUACACCAAGAAUUCCACAAUUUGCAAUGGAAUAAAUAAUUCCAUAAAUGUAUUGCAUCUUUCCAUGAGACAGACCUAAUUUGGAAAUGUGAGUCUCACAGAAGUGAAGGUGUUUCUUCAUUUGUUUGUUUUUGAUAUUUGAUUGAUUCUAUAUGAGACCUCACAUCAGACACAACAGUGAACUGAAUUGGUGGCUGAAUAAAAUUGAUAUCAUGGAUUGAA